rnacentral:rRNA from 1 species
UGGGCAACCUGCCCUCCAGCGUCUGGGAAUAACUCCAAGAAAUUGGGCUAAUACCGGAUAUGAACCGGCUGACCGCAUGGUCUGGUUGGUGGAAAG